AAGAAGUUUUUUCAUUAGAUAUACAAUCAUUAUUAUGAUAUUUUAUGUUUUUGAUGUUUUUAUGAUAAAUAUGAUGCUGUCACUGAGGAAGAUAUUCAAGGCAUGUUCACUGACGACGAAGAAAACAUGGAAGAAGUUGAGAAAACCAAAAAGCCACAUAAGUUUGAAGAAAGUCUCGAAAUGUCAGAAAAUGAUAGCAACAUCUUGGGGAAAGAUUUUCAGAAAGUAAGACAAUCAGCUGCUACAUCUCUGCAAUCACAAGCAAAAAGAAUGAAACAAAUUAGUGAUAGCAGCCACCCUGCAACAAAAAUUGGAAACAAUGUAACAAUAGUCAUUUCUGACGUUAAUCGAUCAAGAGGAAGCCUCUGAAAUAUUAUGACGGUCAUUUUGAACAUUAAUCAAGACAAUUUAUACCAACUAGGUACAAAGGAUUGUAGGGUAGGCAGUAUCACCCCUACCUCUACUUAGGUCUGGACCCCGCGUGCUCUCUGACCGCUCCUUUCGUUGGACGGUAAUCUUUAUCUGCACUUCAUGUUGUAGUAGCCAAAAAAGUGACCGAACUGCAUCAUCCAAAAAUUCCAUAAAACAUGUAAGGUUAUUUAAAGGAACUUCCUUUUAAUAUAACUAUAAAAUUAGUAAAUACAACUUAUAUAAAUAAUAACAUAAAAAAAGUCUCCACUUUACAGAGAACCUCCACCAACAAAGUUCCGUUGUUCAAAUAUCUAUAAUCCAGCGGCACAGUUCGAUGAACUACACUUUCCACAAGGAACACCACCUUUUCAAGGCACCACAAUCAAGACGAAGACACUACAGUCGAGACCACCACGCCAGCUGUGUAUCAAUGGUAGAGGCUCUACCUUCCAUACUCUAGCGACACCUUUUAUGUAUUGUUGGCUUAACUAAUUUACAUAUUUGUAAUUACAAUAGAAAAAAAUAAAAUCAAUUGAUGUUAAUUAUGAGUCCAAAAAUUAAUGAAAUACAUAACAUAAUAGUAAUAAACUGAUUAUUCCUUGGU
rnacentral:lncRNA from 1 species